rnacentral:lncRNA from 1 species
GCAAAAGAAGAUACAUAGAAGGACGAAAGGCAAAAGAGCCCUAAGGGGGCCCGGCUUCCUCCGACUUCGAACUUUUGGCUUCGAUCCUCAUCAGGGAGCACUUUAAGCUCUCAACUUCUUCUUUCAAUUCUUUCUCCCUCAUUAGCAUCUCCACAUACCUUCAAUGAAGCCGCUGGCUUUCGUUCUCCGCCUCCCGGUGCCUCUUUCUCAAGACCUCAGGUUCCGCCUCCACUUUUCUGACUGCCUGCUGCUCGUAUACCAACUGGAUCUUCAAUUGUUGCAGCUCGACCUUUCCUUCCCCAGGGGCGA